rnacentral:rRNA from 1 species
UACGUAGGGUGCGAGCGUUGUCCGGAAUUAUUGGGCGUAAAGAGCUUGUAGGCGGUUUGUCGCGUCUGCCGUGAAAAUUCGAGGCUCAACCUCGAACUUGCGGUGGGUACGGGCAGACUAGAGUGUGGUAGGGGAGAUCGGAAUUCCUGGUGUAGCGGUGAAAUGCGCAGAUAUCAGGAGGAACACCGGUGGCGAAGGCGGAUCUCUGGGCCAUUACUGACGCUGAGGAGCGAAAGCGUGGGGAGCGAACAGG